CACAUGUUUAUCAACUGGUUUUAUGGAAGCUGUUGUGAUACCUCAGACUGAAUGCUUUCAAGCUGCUUUACAAUUUGCCCGUACAGAGGGUCUGAUUCCAGCUCCAGAACCAACUCAUGCUAUAGCAGCCACAAUUAGGGAAGCAUUACAUUGCAAAGAGACGGGAGAAAGAAAAGUUAUUCUGAUGGCUAUGUGUGGUCAUGGUCACUUCGAUCUAACCGCGUAUGAGAAAUAUUUGCAAGGGGAUAUGGUUGAUUUAUCAUACUCCAGUGAGAAGGUACAAGCAUCUUUAACUGCUGUGCCCUAAGUCAUACCCUAGAAUAUUAGGAUCCGACUGCAAAUUAUUGCUAACAGAAUAAGAUAUUAUGAGUGAAUGCUGAAAAUUAUUUAUUGCAUGGCUGAUUGAACAAGCUAAAGUGCUAAUACCUGAACUCAUUUCUCAUGCCUUGGGCUUUCAUUGGUUUUCUUCUGAUAUCAAAUCACAUUGUUUGCCCCAACUGAUUUCAGCUUAUAUAAGCUCUAAUUUUCUUCUCACCA